AUAACUGUUUAGGUAUUAAUAAUUUAACAAUAUUAGAUAAUAAUGGUAUUUUUUGAACCCACCAGUUAAGAAAAUUUUAAAAUUUGCGACAGCAAGAUAAAACAUUUAUUGUACAUUAGGUUAAAUAUAGUGCCAGCAAACGCGGUCAUACUAUACUGAUGUAAAUAUUAUAAAGAGUGUAAUGAAGGUAUAUCUUUAAAUACUAGUAAAAUAGAUUUAGAGUCAACCUAAAUGUUCAACCUACUUUAUCAAAAUUGGUCUAAAACGAGGAUUAGAUACCCUCUUAUUCAAUAACUAACAAAACACUUUAAGCAGUAAAACAUUAUAAGUUCAAACUUAAUAAACAUGGCGGUAUUAUAAAAUUUUAGGGGAACUUACCGAGUAAAUGAUAACCACCAAGCUUAAUUUACUUUUAUUGAGAUUUUGUAUGCCCUCGUUAUGGUUGAAUUUUAUAUUUGACCAAAAAUAUUUGUACUCACAACAGACCACGGUGCAGAAAAUAUAAAAGUUCAGGCGAGUUACAUUAAUUAAAAUUGCAGAUCUACUGAAUAACCAGUAUUGAAGAUGGACUUAAAAGUAAUUUUCAUUAACCUUAAAAAAUGAAUAUAAAUUAUAAUAUGCACAAAUCGCCCGUCACUCUAAAUUCAAUUUUAGAUAAGUCGUAACAUAGUAGAAAUAGUGGAAACUGUUUCUAAGUUAUAGCAUAUGUUACCAUAUAACCUAAAUAUUUAACCUAUAACUCCA
rnacentral:rRNA from 1 species